rnacentral:misc_RNA from 1 species
GUAGGUGAACCUGCGGAAGGAUCAUUACUGAGUUCAUGCCCUAACGGGUAGAUCUCCACCCUUGAGUAUAAACCUUUGUUGCUUUGGCGGGCCGCCUCGGCUACCGGCUUCGGCUGGUGAGUGCCCGCCAGAGAACCCUAAACUCUGAAUUACAGUGUCGUCUGAGUACUAUAUAAUAGUUAAAACUUUCAACAACGGAUCUCUUGGUUCUG